rnacentral:rRNA from 1 species
CCUACGGGAGGCAGCAGUGAGGAAUAUUGGUCAAUGGACGAGAGUCUGAACCAGCCAAGUAGCGUGAAGGAUGACUGCCCUAUGGGUUGUAAACUUCUUUUAUAUGGGAAUAAAAUGUUUCACGUGUGGGAUUUUGUAUGUACCAUAUGAAUAAGGAUCGGCUAACUCCGUGCCAGCAGCCGCGGUAAUACGGAGGAUCCGAGCGUUAUCCGGAUUUAUUGGGUUUAAAGGGAGCGUAGGUGGAUGGUUAAGUCAGUUGUGAAAGUUUGCGGCUCAACCGUAAAAUUGCAGUUGAAACUGGCAGUCUUGAGUACAGUAGAGGUGGGCGGAAUUCGUGGUGUAGCGGUGAAAUGCUUAGAUAUCACGAAGAACUCCGAUUGCGAAGGCAGUUCACUGGACUGCAACUGACACUGAGGCUCGAAAGUGUGGGUAUCAAACAGGAUUAGAUACCCGAGUAGUC